rnacentral:rRNA from 1 species
AUUGAACGCUGGCGGCAGGCCUAACACAUGCAAGUCGAGCGGAUGAAGGGAGCUUGCUCCUGGAUUCAGCGGCGGACGGGGGAGUAAUGCCUAGGAAUCUGCCUGGUAGUGGGGGAUAACGUCCGGAAACGGGCGCUAAUACCGCAUACGUCCAGCGGGAGAAAGUGGGGGAUCUUCGGACCCCACGCUAUCAGAUGAGCCUAGGUCGGAUUAGCUAGUUGGUGGGGUAAAGGCCUACCAAGGCGACGAUCCGUAACUGGUCUGAGAGGAUGAUCAGUCACACUGGAACUGAGACACGGUCCAGACUCCUACGGGAGGCAGCAGUGGGGAAUAUUGGACAAUGGGCGAAAGCCUGAUCCAGCCAUGCCGCGUGUGUGAAGAAGGUCUUCGGAUUGUAAAGCACUUUAAGUUGGGAGGAAGGGCAGUAAGUUAAUACCUUGCUGUUUUGACGUUACCAACAGAAUAAGCACCGGCUAACUUCGUG